GUUUCACUGGGCAGACGUUCCCUGUACCUCAAGCAGGUGGCCCUUAUGUGAAUCAGACGGAAGGGAUUCAGAACAAAUUGUUGGCUAGGCCUGGUUCUCAGCUCAUCAGAUAGAUUAGUUGUAUACUAAGCAAAGAAUUACAUAUAAGCAUCAAGCGAAAAAAUAAAUAUAAGCAUCAGAA